rnacentral:tRNA from 30 species
GGGUUGUUAGCUCAGUCGGUAGAGCAGCGGACUUUUAAUCCGUUGGUCGCGAGUUCGAGUCUCGCACAACCCACCA